rnacentral:rRNA from 1 species
GAUGAACGCUGGCGGCGUGCUUAACACAUGCAAGUCGAACGGAAAGGCUCCUGCUUGCAGGGGUACUCGAGUGGCGAACGGGUGAGUAACACGUGGGUGAUCUGCCCUGCACUUCGGGAUAAGCCUGGGAAACUGGGUCUAAUACCGGAUAGGACGAUGGUUUGGAUGCCAUUGUGGAAAGUUUUUCGGUGUGGGUUGAGCUCGCGGCCUAUCAGCUGGUUGGUGGGGUAAUGGCCUACCAGGGCGUCGACGGGUAGCCGGCCUGAGAGGGUGUACGGCGACAUUGGGACUGCGAUACGGCCCAGACUCCUACGGGAGGCAGCAGUGGGGAAUAUUGCACAAUGGGCGCAAGCCUGAUGCAGCGACGCCGCGUGGGGGAUGACGGCCUUCGGGUUGUAAACUCCUUUCGCUAGGGACGAAGCGCAGGUGACGGUACCUGGAGAAGAAGCACCGGCUAACUACGUG